GUUUGUAUAGCUUAAAGGUAAAGCCAUGUACUGUUAAUACAUUGAUUUUGGUUCGAUUCCAAAUAUAAACG
rnacentral:tRNA from 2 species